GACUUCGUAGUGAAAUUCAUGUUGAGUUGCAAGCUCAUUGAUGUACGUCAAGCGUGCCGAAGUCU
rnacentral:tRNA from 1 species